GAUGAACGCUGGCGGCGUGCCUAAUACAUGCAAGUCGAGCGAAUGGAUUAAGAGCUUGCUCUUAUGAAGUUAGCGGCGGACGGGUGAGUAACACGUGGGUAACCUGCCCAUAAGACUGGGAUAACUCCGGGAAACCGGGGCUAAUACCGGAUAACAUUUUGAACCGCAUGGUUCGAAAUUGAAAGGCGGCUUCGGCUGUCACUUAUGGAUGGACCCGCGUCGCAUUAGCUAGUUGGUGAGGUAACGGCUCACCAAGGCAACGAUGCGUAGCCGCCCUGGGAGGGUGAUCGGCCACACUGGGACUGAGACACGGCCCAGACUCCUACGGGAGGCAGCAUUAGGGAAUCUUCCGCAAUGGACGAAAGUCUGACGGAGCAACGCCGCGUGAGUGAUGAAGGCUUUCGGGUCGUAAAACUCUGUUGUUAGGGAAGAACAAGUGCUAGUUGAAUAAGCUGGCACCUUGACGGUACCUAACCAGAAAGCCACGGCUAACUACGUGCCAGCCGCCGCGGUAA
rnacentral:rRNA from 1 species